UACGUAGGAGGCAAGCGUUGUCCGGAAUCACUGGGCGUAAAGCGCGUGUAGGCGGAUGUCUAAGUCUGUCGUGAAAGCGCCUGGCUUAACCGGGCGAGGUCGAUGGAAACUAGGCGUCUAGAGGCCGGUAGAGGGGGGUGGAAUUCCGGGUGUAGUGGUGAAAUGCGUAGAGAUCCGGAGGAACACCAGUGGCGAAGGCGGCCCCCUGGGCCGCGCCUGACGCUGAGACGCGAAAGCGCGGGGAGCGAACGGG
rnacentral:rRNA from 1 species